GAUGAACGCUGGCGGCGUGCCUAACACAUGCAAGUCGAGCGAUUCUCUUCGGAGAAGAGCGGCGGACGGGUGAGUAACGCGUGGGUAACCUGCCCUGUACACACGGAUAACAUACCGAAAGGUAUGCUAAUACGAGAUAAUAUACUUUUAUCGCAUGGUAGAAGUAUCAAAGCUACGGCGGUACAGGAUGGACCCGCGGCUGAUUAGCUAGUUGGUAAGGUAACGGCUUACCAAGGCGACGAUCAGUAGCCGACCUGAGAGGGUGAUCGGCCACAUUGGAACUGAGACACGGUCCAAACUCCUACGGGAGGCAGCAGUGGGGAAUAUUGCACAAUGGGCGAAAGCCUGAUGCAGCAACGCCGCGUGAGCGAUGAAGGCCUUCGGGUCGUAAAGCUCUGUCCUCAAGGAAGAUAAUGACGGUACUUGAGGAGGAAGCCCCGGCUAACUACGUGCCAGCAGCCGCCGUAA
rnacentral:rRNA from 1 species